rnacentral:piRNA from 1 species
UGGUAUUGUAUGGUGUCACUAUGAUG